GGCUCAGGAUGAACGCGGGCGGCGUGCCUAAUACAUGCAAGUCGAACGGUCCGCAAGGAUAGUGGCGAACGGGUGUGUAACGCGUUGGUGACCUGCCCUGAAGUGGGGGAUAACGGAUCGAAAGGUCCGCUAAUACCGCAUAAGAUCCCGCUAGUUAGAGAAGCGGGAGGAAAGCCGAAAGGCGCUUUAGGAGGGACCUGCGUCCCAUCAGCUAGUUGGUAAGGUAACGGCUUACCAAGGCGAUGACGGGUAGGGGACCUGAGAGGGUGGCCCCCCACAAUGGAACUGAAACACGGUCCAUACACCUACGGGUGGCAGCAGUAGGGAAUAUUGGUUAAUGGGCGAAAGCCUGACCCAGCAACGCCGCGUGAACGAUGAAGGCCUUCGGGUUGUAAAGUUCUUUUGGCAGGGAUGAGGAAGGACAGUACCUGUCGAAUAAGUCUCGGCUAACUACGUGCCAGCAGCCGCGGUAACACGUAGGAGACAAGCGUUAUCCGGAUUUACUGGGUGUAAAGCGCGUGCAGGCGGGCCUGUAAGUUGGAUGUGAAAGCUCCUGGCUUAACUGGGAGAGGUCGUUCAAGACUGCAGGUCUAGAGGACAGCAGAGGGGAGUGGAAUUCCGAGUGUAGCGGUAAAAUGCAUAGAUAUUCGGAAGAACACCAGUGGCGAAGGCGGCUCUCUGGGCUGAUCCUGACGCUCAGACGCGAAAGCUAGGGUAGCAAACGGGAUUAGAGACCCCGGUAGUCCUAGCCGUAAACGAUGUGGACUUGGCGUAGGUGGGUUCAAAUCCAUCUGUGCCGAAGCAAACGCGAUAAGUCCACCACCUGGGGACUAC
rnacentral:rRNA from 1 species